UGGUGAAGAGGUGAUAAUGGAAGCUGGCCGGUGGAGGUUUUCCUGCUAGCGUUUCAAGGGUUAGUUUUAUCAUUUCGUUAGACAGAAAUUACUCUUACAACAGUGAGGCUUUGGUUUUGUCUCACUACAUCAAGGAAAAUUCAAUGUCGCACCUCUGAUAAUCUUCCGAGUUUUCUCACAUUUUCAAUCCAAACAGUGUAAAUUCAUCUGUUGCAGUGACUCUUUAAUUUGGAAAUUAAAUCAGCGGAGAGCGGACACCAUAAUGGAUCAGAGACUUCUUGUGGAUUCCAUCACAAAAGAAACUACAGACUGGACCUGCAAGGUUCAGGAACAACAGGUUUCCAUAGUGCUAUACGGCGAUGACAUUCCCAAAUACGAGAACUUGUUCCUCCUUUUCCACACAUAUCUUGUUUCUUGUGCGAAAGCUAGGGAUCCCCGUGGCUACUCGAUACGAGCCGGUACGUAUGAAUGGGUAGCUGACAAAUACACAAUUGUUGAGCCGAUUACCGACAACGAUGGAUUGGAAACACCACUGCCUGCUCCAGAAAAGUUAAGAACACUUCCUUUCUGAGCGGUUGAACAACAACAUCCAGGUGCUGAAUUUGACUUACUGGCAGUAGUAGUUAACUGCAGCACCCUGUAAUACACAGCUGACCAGAGCACACACUUUCGGGAAGCGAUUGUGAUGGAUCAAAGUUCUGAGAUUGGAAACAAGAUAUCAAACAACAAUUUUACCAAAUCCUCAAUAUGUGCAGGCAAUUACACUGAUGAACUGGGUGAAGCAGAACGAACAAAUAUUAUCGUCUUAUACUUUAAGAAGCUCCUCAUCAUCAACCUCCUCAUUGAAUCUUGCACCUAUUGAUGAAGAUCAAGUACAAUCUGUAUCCAACAUUCCACAGUCGUUGUCUACGGUACAAACUGUUCCUAUGAAAGGCAGAAUAUCGCUUCCCGAUUAUUCUCAAUCAUUUUACUUGCUUGCCUGUUCAAACUGCAAUCACUAUGUAUGUCCUAAAACAAAAAAUGGUCCACUGCUUCAACUAUAAACUACACCGGCCAUUGGUCCCCAGGUGUAUAGCAAAUUGCAUUUCAACCUAGCUAUUGAGUCACAAGGAGUUAAUUUGCUCGGAAACAGUCAACUGGGACAAGCUUAUCCGUGUGUUUCACCAAGAUGUUUUUAUGACAUAGGCGGGGUGGAAAUGUUUGUUUGGUCUGCAUAGGGCAUGCUCUCAUGAAGUAUAAGGACAUGCCUAUAUGUUCUGUAAUUUACAGCUUCUGCCAACUAAAACUCAGAAAACAGUGAUUUGUGCCGGGUUCAUAUCACUAAUGAUACAACAAAACCUGUCUGCAUGAUGUUGUUCCAUUGUUUACACGUUCACAUGCUAUUACUCCACAGUGAAAUAGAUUCAUCCUGUACAUUUGCCUCCACACCUGAAACUUUGAUGUUGCAGCUUUGUCUCUUUCCUUUCAGGUGCCACUUCAACAUUGACAUCACAGAUUUCAGCGGGACAAUUGCAGCAACAGUGUCAAAAGCUUUAGCAGAAAGAAUACUGUCCCUAACUGUCGAUCAAAUAUAUGACAAAGUUGUUGUCCAAGUAUAAAAUACAUACUGUUACCUACGGCGAAACUCCUCUUACAAUUUCAUUCUACCAGUAACUCCUAUUUAAUGUACUAUCUUUAACCUUUUCCACUUAGAAACAACCACUGUCUAUUUCCAGUAGAAAUCGCCAACUUGAUCGUGAACUGUUUAAACUCCAAUUACAAAAGUCAGCUUUCAGAUUUCCAGACCAAAAAUCAGAUGCGCUAGCUGUUGCGUCAUUCACUGAAACAGAACAAACAGGUAAGAGGCAGAAAAUUGAACCAUCCACAUCCGUGAAAAGGAUUGAAGGUAACAAUACUUUGAUAUUUCAUCUGCUACCAUACUCUAUUUCCUGUGUACCGGAGCUAUGACAAUUACCCAAAUAUUUAUUAUGAAUUCAUUAUCUUACCAUUUCAGCAUUACUAAUAACAAAUAAGCAGGUCUAACUUACACUGAAAUAUACAAUAUCUACUCAACACAAUCAGGUAAAUAGAAUAAUCAUAUGCCUCUUUACUGCACCACCAGGAAAAACCAUUUACUUUUGGUGUUUCCAGAGGUUUACCUUGUAUUAGUUUUGGUUACUUUUGGCAUUUCCUUCAUCGGAUAUAUAAAUCGGUUUUAAAUUCUGCCUUGCUUUCUUUCAUCAUCUUCUUUAUCUCAGGUGAGUUUCAACUUGUACAUAUACCUUUGUAAUAGUAAUACUUGUAGGUGACUUAUUGAUAUAUUCACAACGCACGUAAGUUGUUUAAUGAAAAUCCUCUAUCAUAAAAUAGUGUGACAAAAAGCUACUUUGUUACUUUUGUUUUUGCCUGUAACUUAAAGACAAUGUACAAUGUAACCAUUCCAGAUUGGUUAAGCGCUAAAAUCUCGAGCAACACUCUAUUCGGAAAUAAGCUACUUACAUGAACUAUCCAAUAUUUACAUCCUAAAAUAUACUCUUUUAUGUGGACAUUGUAAAACAAUAAUUACAUCAGAAUGUGGACAUAUUCUUGGAUUAUGUAUUUUCCUGAGUUGUAACUUUCCCCAAGGUUUUUUGGCGUGAUGAUAACUUAACCUUUCGGAUAAAAAGAUUAUUUGGUUUCUCUUUAACUGUUGAUGUUUAAGUGCUAUAAAGUUUGGGACUUUCGGAGAAUUUGAUGGUUCAACUUUGGUUUUUACUAAGAAAUUUAGCUUCCUGUCUUUGUUUUUUGCAGGUAUGUGAAGAAGUUAUGGAACUUUAAUUAACCUACUGUACUCUGCAGCUGUAACUAUAUGGCAACCUUUCUUCACAUUUUGCUUAGCACUGUUUAUCGUGAUUAUAUUGCUACUUUGUGAUACAGUUAUGUAACUUGUCUCCGCUUAUCGUCACCUCAUCGUUGGGCCCAUGCCUGCACGAACUUCUCCAUCUAGUAUAUAUAUAUGCAUGCCCUUACCAUUAUAAUUUGGGGUCAUAUAUAUAUAUAUAUAACACUGAAACACGUGGCAGCCUCCAUUAAUUUAUUCAAUCCCCUCAAAAUUUUAUACCUAAAUUUAAUAAUUUGUCCAAUCCGACCCUUAAAAUGGAAAAAUCCCUCAUCCACUUGCCACUUUUACCCAUUUCACCCGAAAACUAUAGCCUACCACUAAAGAGAACCUGGGAACCUCAAACUUGAUUGAGAGACUAACUCGCAUCACUAGCUUAUCCGAAACACCCUAUCAGUUCUAACACCCUCAUAAGCUGUUUCUCUAUUUUGCAGAAUCAAGCAAAUGCAAGAAAAAGAUUCUGUGUUCUUAAAAGAGACUGAACUUGUUCGAUUUUUUAAAAAGCCACUUAAUUCCAUUACCCUACAAAAUUAGUUAAGAUCAUUAAAAAUAACCCCUUUUGACUCAUUUUCAGCCUAUUCAUUUUAACAUGGAAGAGGAGGCUCGUGAGGAAAAAAAAUUAUUGCACCAGCAAAUUGAAAAAUGUCACGUGUAAUAAAAAAUAUUUCCACUUUUUUCUUUUUCUAUUUUACUUUUUUUCUUCCUUUCUAUUACUUUUUCUUUUGUUUCUCCUUUUUCAUUUCUUCUUCAUCAAUGGAGUCUUAUUUUCCCUUCCUCUUCUUCUCCGUUAAUGUGAUGGUGGUGGAUAUUAUCCUGGUGGAUAUUUAUUUUUUGAUAAAAAUGAUAAUGAGAUUUUAAAAAAAGUAAAAAAAAAGGGGCAUGUUAGCUACUAUUUUUUCUUGAUCGGAUGUGCUCGCAGUGAUUCGAGGCCCAUUUUGGCAUUGGUCCCCCUGUCAGCUCUACUGUAGCUUUGCUGGCGACUGGAGAUAGUAGCUCGCCGGAGCUUUUGCUGAUAGGAUCAGCUUAAAUUCCUUGGGGAGGUAUGUGUGAGGAUUGCGAACAAACCUCAGUGGUUUUAUCACCACAAAUCUCACCAGAAUUUGAUGGAGUUUUUGGAGAUUUUGCUUUGCCAUCGGCAGUGUUCGCCGACGAUUUGCCAUCAAAUUGCAAGGUGAAAUUGGCUGCAUUUUUAUCACAUUGUAUAUUAAGAUCAAGAUAAUGAGCACCACUUUGCUUAACAGACAAUUGAGCUUGCAAUAAAUUAAAAAUAUAAGAGAGAGGAUUGGGUGAGAGAAAGUCAAAAGAUAAGAGAGAGAAAUAAAUAAAAAGAUAAAAAUUUUUAAAAAUAAAAAUAUAUUUUAAUUAAUUAACACGUAGCAAUCAGUAAUUGUUGGGUGUUUAUCACUUGCUUAUAAAAAUUGGAAUUGAUCCAAAAAUGAUUAAUAAUAUCAAUUCACAAUGGUUUAGGGGUAUAGGACCCCACAAAGUGACUUUAUGUCUUUUCUCUUCUUAAAAUAAAUACAUUUUCCAUUUCGAUUUUUGCAUGAAGUUGAAAUAUUGUUGAAUUAUUGAUAUGAAAGUUUUCCGAGUUUUAAGGAAAUUGAACUCAUUACUAUCUUCAAAACUGAACAAAACCCUUCAACAAUUUCUCUUCGCUUUUACUCAGUCCAACAUCAUUGCAGUACAAUUAUGUUAAUUCGAAAAAAUAGGGUAAGAAGCUCUAGUUGGGAUAAGAAAUAUUGAAAAAGAGUGAAAAGUAUGCUGUUUUAUAAAGACCCUCUAGAGAUUUAAGAGUUCAAGAAUCUUGAUUAA